UAUACAGCGAAACUGCGAAUGGCUCAUUAAAUCAGUUAUCGUUUAUUUGAUAGUACCUUACUACAUGGAUAACCGUGGUAAUUCUAGAGCUAAUACAUGCUAAAAAUCCCGACUUCGGAAGGGAUGUAUUUAUUAGAUUAAAAACCAAUGCCCUUCGGGGCUCUCUGGUGAUUCAUAAUAACUUCUCGAAUCGCACGGCCUUGCGCCGGCGAUGGUUCAUUCAAAUUUCUGCCCUAUCAACUUUCGACGGCUGGGUCUUGGCCAGCCGUGGUGACAACGGGUAACGGAGGGUUAGGGCUCGACCCCGGAGAAGGAGCCUGAGAAACGGCUACUACAUCCAAGGAAGGCAGCAGGCGCGCAAAUUACCCAACCCCGACACGGGGAGGUAGUGACAAUAAAUACUGAUACAGGGCCCUUUCGGGUCUUGUAAUUGGAAUGAGUACAAUUUAAAUCCCUUAACGAGGAACAAUUGGAGGGCAAGUCUGGUGCCAGCAGCCGCGGUAAUUCCAGCUCCAAUAGCGUAUGUUAAAGUUGUUGAGGUUAAAAAGCUCGUAGUUGAACCUUGGGCCUAGCCGGCCGGUCCGCCUCACCGCGUGCACUGGCUCGGCUGGGUCUUUCCUUCUGGAGAACCGCAUGCCCUUCACUGGGUGUGCCGGGGAACCAGGACUUUUACUCUGAACAAAUAGAUCGCUU
rnacentral:rRNA from 1 species